CCUACGGGAGGCAGCAGUCGAGAAUCAUUCACAAUGGGGGAAACCCUGAUGGUGCGACGCCGCGUGGGGGAAUGAAGGUCUUCGGAUUGUAAACCCCUGUCAUGUGGGAGCAAAUUAAAAAGAUAGUACCACAAGAGGAAGAGACGGCUAACUCUGUGCCAGCAGCCGCGGUAAUACAGCGGUCUCAAGCGUUGUUCGGAAUCACUGGGCGUAAAGCGUGCGUAGGCUGUUUCGUAAGUCGUGUGUGAAAGGCGCGGGCUCAACCCGCGGACGGCACAUGAUACUGCGAGACUAGAGUAAGGGAGGGGUAACCGGAAUUCUCGGUGUAGCAGUGAAAUGCGUAGAUAUCGAGAGGAACACUCGUGGCGAAGGCGGGUUCCUGGACAUUAACUGACGCUGAGGCACGAAGGCCAGGGGAGCGAAAGGGAUUAGAUACCCUUGUAGUC
rnacentral:rRNA from 1 species